rnacentral:tRNA from 1 species
CUAAGGAUGAUCCUUCAGCGAGCUUCGGCUCACUAUCGGAUCGUUUUAGAAACAUCAGUGGCCAACGGUCGUCAGGAUCGUUGAGCUGCAUUGGCGGGAUUUCGCCGUCUACGUUUCUCUUUCUUCGCGGACGAACACGCGCUGGGUCUGCAUGUUUGCAGGAUCCCGGUCCUUAACAGGAUAUGCGUUAGGGGCUUGUAGCUCAGUUGGUUAGAGCGCGCGCUUGAUAAGCGUGAGGUCGGAAGUUCAAGUCUUCCCAGGCCCACCACACUCAUCGAGUGAGCAUUCGUCUUCUGGUUACGGGGCCAUAGCUCAGCUGGGAGAGCGCGUGCUUUGCAAGCAUGAGGUCGUCGGUUCGAUCCCGUCUGGCUCCACCAGAUGGUUUGAUCAUCGACUGAUCGGUGCACCUAAAAUCGUCCGCGAAACAUCACUUCGCAUCCUGCUAGUCUGGAUAGACAGCAAGAUGCGUGAUUUCUGACAUCGUAAAGAGGAGAUCGAUCCGAGUUGGGUCGUGCAGCAAGCAAUUGCUACGCGACACUUCAUUAUCUCCGGAUCAUUUCGGCGCUCGUGCGUCUUCCAAGGUAGCUCACAAGGCUGCAUUGAAAGACAACCGAGUUGUAAAUGAUCCUUUUAGCGAAGCUUGACCGCCUCGCUAUCGGAACGAUCUUACGAAGCAAGCUGGUCUUUCUAAUCAUUGUCCGGCUGCAGAUAGCGUUCAUCGAGGGCGCGUGCCUUAGAGACUUAGGUUUCUUGGCAAUUCUGCAGACAACAUUCUGCCGAGUGUGUGGACAUUGAUAAUGAGAGC